rnacentral:ncRNA from 2 species
AAAAGCAGUCAACCAGAGGGUGCUCCCGGUUACGGCCGGGGGAGAAUAGGAAACCGGGUGCAAAUCCCGGGCGGUCCCGCCGCUGUAAACGGGGAGCGAUCCCGAACAAGGCCACUGUUCAACCGAACGGGAAGGCUCGGGAAAGCGCCGAUCCGUAAGCCAGAAGGCCUGCCCUUUGGUCGAAAUCGAU